ACGGCCGAAUAAUUAGCAGCAGUAGCCAGUUCAAAGAAUAGUUCCACGGAUGAGAGUCGUGGUUUCUCUUGGCGGGUGGGUUUUCGAAGUUUGUCCUUUCUGCUUUAAUUUCGUUUGCCCCGACGCUCAACCUGAAAGAAUAGAGGAGCCUAUAGCAACACUCCCUCCGAAAGCC